AGAUCCAAACCGACAAUACUA
rnacentral:misc_RNA from 1 species